rnacentral:rRNA from 1 species
AUUGAACGCUGGCGGCAGGCCUAACACAUGCAAGUCGAACGAGUGGCGGACGGGUGAGUAAUGUCUGGGAAACUGCCUGAUGGAGGGGGAUAACUACUGGAAACGGUAGCUAAUACCGCAUACCAUCGGAGGUGCCCAGAUGGGAUUAGCUAGUAGGUGGGGUAAAGGCUCACCAAGGCGACGAUCCCUAGCUGGUCUGAGAGGAUGACCGGCCACACUGGAACUGAGACACGGUCCGGACUCCUACGGGGGGCAGCAGUGGGGAAUAUUGCACAAUGGGGACAAGCCUAAUGCAGCCAUGCCGCGUGUAGGAGGCAGGCCUUCGGGUUGUAAAGUACUUUCAGCGGGGAGGCGUUACCCGCAGAAGAAGCACCGGCUAACUCCGUGCCAGCAGCCGCGGUAAUUC